AUGCGCUCCUGCGACUCACCCACCCGCCGCAACUACACCGCCACCGAUCCCCUUCCCGCCGUCGCCCUCAAUCAUGCCGCCGCGUCUCCGUGGAUCGGAGCGGCAGGCGCCGCCUUCCCGCGCGCCUAUACUGCAAGAGGUGGGGUUUCCCCUUUCCUUUGUGUACGAAGCCUUCCUGGAAGCGCUGCGCCUGAUCUGCUCGGUACCAGACGAGAGGCUGCGAGCAACGAGGGAGCAGAGGUGGAUGGAGCGGUUGAAGCGGAUCAGCGACGACUCCUUCUCGUGGAUGCAGUGCGAGAAGGAAUGGAGGGAUGCGAUGGAAGGUGCGCAGGCGGAAUCAGAUCCAGAUCUCAACCUCUUGAAGGAGAGGUACGUUCAAACUUGUCGGAUCCAAGCAGAUCGAGAGAUGAUGAAUCUGUCAAGGAGGAUCUACUUCGAGGGGUCACCGGAGGAGCGAGCUCGGAUGCUGCCGGUCCCCACAUCACCGGCGAUUGCGACAAUCCAGUGGGCAAAAGGGAAGGGGCGCUCGACAGACCCGCGAAGGAAGCGAAGAUGGAUUUCUCUGAUUGGGCGUCAACCAACAAGUGUUCCUCCGCCGCCGGAGGCAGUGGAUCCUCUCCCAUAUUUGUCGCCGGAAUUCUGAAUCAGUCUGAAGGUGAAUACAGGAGCAAAGCGGGGAGGGAGAUGGAGACAGAGGAUGAACUUGACACUUCCGAUCCAGGUGGAAAACUUAGGGUGUGCAGAAGUGAGAAGAGAGAUAAGUCAAGAGAAAAUCAAAUUGGGGGCGGAUUUUGGGUUCUAGAGCAAAGUGAUGAAGAAGAAGAAGGGGAAGUUGUUUCUGAAGAAGUUCAGAGAAAUCCAUACCUGGCCACUAUUGCUGAUGCUUUUGUUUGUGGCAAGAGAGGAAGAACCAGGAAAAACAGAGGUGCAAAGAUUGGGAGAGGAAGCGAAGACAGGGAGUCAACAUUGGUGAAGUCAAGUAACAAUUGA
rnacentral:rRNA from 1 species